UUGUUAGUUUUUAUUCUGCAUGCUCCCGUAAACAGGUGUGUGAACUGAGAAAGUUGUUUGGCAGCGUCAGCUUUUGGCUUUUUGCCAAUAGUUUUGUCGUAGAAGAUACUUUUUUAUUAUUCACGGCAAGUAAUUUGAUUAGUGGUAUUUAUACAUUAAGUAAAAAUUGUUAGUGUUGUGUUUGCAAAAAUAAUCAUAAACGUACAAUGAUUGCUUUGUCAAAAAUUGCUGUGUAAUUCAGGAAAACGUCAAAAGUUCUAUAGUAGAAAUUCGCUUGGAGCUAAAAUAGCUGGGGAUACACAGAGGAACAUCCAACCAAUCCCAACUUAGCUUUCUGAUAUAAUUCAGUGCUCUUAAGUCGCCAUGCAGCGUUGGUGGUUUCUGGAAGACAAUAAUAGCUCUGCUAACAACGCAUCUUCUGCCGUCAAAAAGACGAAACCACUAAAGCCCCCGGGCGAUCGAAAGCAAAAGUUCCGCGUACUAGUCACCGACGAGUUGCUGAAGGAUGAAACUAUCGCUGUUACCGGUAGCUGUGAAGCGUUGGGAAACUGGGAAGCGGAACAUUGUGUGCAAAUGCAGCAAGAGGAAGAUAGCCAGAACAUUUGGUGCUUAGAGAUUGAUUUACCAGACAACAUUGUUGUCUCCUAUCGCUAUUUGAUUUGUUCGAUAGAUCCCAAUAGUGAAAAUGUGCACGUGCGCCGUUUUGAAACCCAUAUCACUCCACGGGCAAUCCCAGUGAAUAGUACGCCUGAUAUGGAUUCAAAAAUCGAUACGCUGGGCGAUAUAGACGGGACGAUCAAACUAGACAAAGGUUGGCUCACAACUGAGACAAUAAUACAGUUCAAAUUUUUCGACAACCCUUUUUUGGUAAAGGAGCGCAUUAAAAAUCGAUUGCUGCAUGUUAAAAUCACACCGAUGAACCUGCGCAUAAAUGCCGAAUCCCAAAAUAUGACGAGUUCUCAUGAGGAUUCAUUGUCCAAUGAUACACGGGAAAAUGGAACUGAUCAUCAAGCUUACGCAUUUACGGAAGUACUAUCGUUGCGGAAUUCCAACGCAUCAUUCGAACAGCAGUCCCAGUUUGGAUGCCCAUAUCAUCCAGAUGAUUUCAUAGUUUUCAAUGUGACUUUAAACGAGCCAGAGAAUGUUGCAUACCUGGUGGAUCUCUAUACUUACAGCUCACGAUUUAAAGAGAACGAGCCACCGUACCAUCUAGGAUAUCACUAUAUCUUACCAAAUUUUCUAAAAAAAUCGGAGGGAAUCUUGGAGCUUCCAGUGACUUGUGCAAGUAAACACCGACCUUUAGGAAUGAUGCGCAUUGACUACUUGAAGGUCACCCCAUUACUGCCAUCCAAAUGUAGCCUAGAACGAUCGUAUAUUCGUUACUGGGACAAGCGGUGGACCGGACUGGAUGUCGGUCACCGCGGGUCUGGCACUAGCUUUAAAACAAGCGAAGGGAAUGUGAUACGCGAAAAUACGAUCGCCUCUCUAAAGAAAGCCGUUGCACACGGUGCUGAUAUGGUUGAAUUUGAUGUUCAGCUUAGCAAGGACUUGGUACCUGUUAUCUAUCAUGAUUUCGAUAUUUAUGUUUCCCUCAAACGAAAAACCAAUCUCGAGACAAACGAUAUGCUAGAGUUGCCGAUGCACGAAUUGACGUUAGAGCAGUUGAAGAAUCUGAAGGUAUACCAUGUCGUUGAAGGUAGAAAUAGAGAACCAAAGUUCUUUGAUGAAGAUCUUGAUGAACAUCAGCCUUUUCCUCAGCUGUCCGAUGCGCUGGAUUUGAUUGAUCCUAGUUGUGGUUUUAAUAUCGAAAUUAAGUGGUCUCAAAAAUUGAAAGACGGCAAAAUGGAAUCUGAAUUACAUUUUGAUUCGAAUCUAUACGUUGAUUGUAUUUUGAAAGUCGUUCUAGAAAAGGCUGGUAGUCGGCGAAUUGUAUUCUCCUGUUUCGAUGCAGAUAUUUGCACAAUGUUGCGUUUCAAGCAGAAUCUGUACCCGGUGAUGUUCCUUACUCUGGGCGUUACUAGUAGAUAUCCAAGCUACCACGACCCGCGAUGUAACUCGAUCGAGAUGGCAGUUAGAAAUGCUUGUGCAACCGAACUACUGGGCAUCGUGGCACAUACCGAAGAUCUGUUGCGCGAUCAGACUCAGGUGAAUCUAGCAACAGAGAAAGGAUUAAUUAUUUUCUGUUGGGGUGACGACAACAAUUGUAAAGAUACAAUUAAGCAUUUGAAAAGUCUAGGCAUCCAUGCUAUCAUAUACGACAAGAUGGACAUCUAUUCUGAUAAAGCCGUCAAGAUGGAGGGUGAUACCGGAGCUUCUGGCCAAUAAUCAUGCUAAGUUUAUUUAUAUGUACCCGUUGAUGUAUCACAUUGAUUGUCUAGUAUACGAUCGAGUUUUUUUCCGCAGUAAGCCAAAGAGCAGAAAAGGGGGUAGAACAAUUUGAAUCUUUUGUUUCUCACUACAGCAAUGUUUCGAAUAUAUCACGCUUAUAUAUCCAUAUAUGUAUGCAUAUAUGUGUAUAUACAUAUACGGGGCAUUCCGCGUCAGAUUUACAACCAAAAUUUUAAUCACUUCCGAAAUUUUUUGUUGCAUUCUUUAGCUAGAAAUAAUUGACAAGUAUUUUUUUGUUUUGGCUGAAUAUGAAGUUUAUAAAAUUGAACAUUUUUCAAUCACUGAUAACUCAGAAACGAUAUGCAAAAAUAUUAAAUAAAAACUGUUGCAUUUUCAAAUGAGCUACCGCAACAAUAUCACAAUUUUUUGUGAUAUACCUUAUGAAAUCUGCAAUUAUUUGAAACAAAUUGAAUUUUUUAAUGCUGGACCAAUUUUUUACUUAUUUUCUUUAAAUAUUAAGAAUGUUUAAAAGAUUGUGUAAAAAUUUGGGAGUGGAUAUCAAAAUACUUUGCGAGAUAUUAAUCUUAAUCUACUUAUACUAACUAAUACAUGUAAAUGUUAAAGCUAAUUCUCCUAUCUGAUAGCUAACUUAAUUCUGCGGGCGUGGCUUAGAAAGCUCGCCAUGAUUAUUUCCUACGUCUAAAGUUAUAUCUUUGGCUGUCUCGCCUGUGUGUGUAUUUGUUUAUAGAGAGAGGAGGGGCUAAGUCGGAUUGUCUAUUCUCUUGCGUCAUGUUCUCGCAAUCGGGUUAUUUUCUCUCGUAGUUUACUUCGGUAUUUUGAGCUGUACUGGCUAUCUGACCUUGAUGCCUUAGACUGUGCUGACUGUCAUAAUGUGUGUCGAUACUAUGUUUGUUGUUUUCGUAAAUACUUGGGUCAGCUUUUUGUCAAGUGCGGAAGGCUAAUUUAUUAUCGUCAAUGGUUUGAGGUUUGUUCUUGUUUUUGGGCUCAAGUUUGUGUUGUUUUAUUGCGUGCUAGAAACGUGGGUAUGUUUUGAGAUUUGGACGUAAGUUUGGUUCUGUGGCUUGUAUGUAGAUCAGUUUUUCGGUUUGGAUGUAGGUCUGUUUUUGAAGUGCUAAAGAUGCAGGUCUGUUUUAGAAAUGUGUUUGGUUGAUUAUUACUAGCUGUGAAAAAACAUAGUUGUUUGGUACUGUACAUUAGACCUCUCCACAUUUUGAAAAAGUUUUGAAAUAUACAUCGGUCAGCUCAAAUUUUUGUUCUAGGUGUGAAUUUAAGAACUUUCGCCAAAAAUGGCUUAAUUUGGAUCUGAUUUAGAGGUGUCUCCAAUCAAAAAUCGUGUUUUUGCUAUGUUUCCGUAGGAAGAUCACUUACACUCUGAUUUAAUAGGCCCUACAUGCCCACAUAUCAUCAAAGGUUGAUCCUUAGACAUAUCUUAACAUGUUUUAUCAGAUGAACAUAUCUUUAAUCACAAUAGAAAAUUUGUGAACUGGAUUUUUAUAUAAAAAAGUAUAUCAAAACCUAGGAAAAUUACUAGUAGGUUUAAAGUAGUUAAUAGUAGUUAAAAUUUUACACUAACGCCCAGUGAUAGGCCUGUUAUAAUUAAAAUAUCUCGAAAAAUACUUCGAGUUCCAUUCUGAAAUUUUCACACUAUCUUCAUAAUAUAAUAAUUAUACAUCAAAAAUAUUGCUUUCCGGGUGAUCUUAAAAAAAAUUUGCUUCUAACAUUUGCAGAAUGCAGGUCAUUCCACGUCAGAUUUACAACUAAAAUUUUAGUUCCCUUCAAUUUUGCUUUAUUGCAUUCUUUAUGUUAUGUUAUCAAUCUCAUAUGGAUAAUAUUGUUUUAAUGGUGUUUAGAAAUCUCAAUUCUAUAUUGUGCUAUUCUCAAGUGACGUAAUACGAUCAUGACUGAACCAUCAAGUAUGAUCAUUGCGCUACGAGACAGAAGAACUCCAACUGCUAUAGAACAUUUUUGAGAUCCACGAAACAGAUUGAUCAAGAAGCAAAUCACUUAGGGGAUUUUCGAUUGAUUGACACCGGUGUAGUGGAUUGUACUGGUUUUGCACUUUCUAGCAGAAGUGUCAAUGGAACAUACCCAGUUUUCUGCACUUCUGCUAGAAAGUGCAAAAACGGUGCAGUUUCAGUGCACUCCACUACACCAGUGUCAAUCAAUCGAAAACCCCAUUAAUAUAGCUUAGUUUUUCAUGGUUUUGUCAAAAAGUAUACGACAUUUCACAAGCAGUCUUGUUUUUUUCUUCAAUGUGUGUCAUAUAAUGCAUAAUUAUCGUCAUUGAAUCCAUCGUUUUUGAAACUUUGAUCAUUGAACAAUUUGAAUCUAAAGAGGUUUUAAUCCCCUUUGUGCGACUCCAUUCUUUUCUUUUAUUUUUUUCUACGUAUCGUGUCAUUGCAGAUGGAGGGUGAUACCGGAGCUUCUGGCCAAUAAUCAUGCUAAGUUUAUUUAUAUGUACCCGUUGAUGUAUCACAUUGAUUGUCUAGUAUACGAUCGAGUUUUUUUCCGCAGUAAGCCAAAGAGCAGAAAAGGGGGAAAGUGUAUUUUUAGUGGGAGCACGCGACUCACAGGCAGCAAUUUUGCAGCAGAUUGGAAUUGAAAAUCGCUUGGAGCACAAUAAUCAUCAUGAGUUCAUCGACCCGAAACCGACCUCAGUUUCAAAUGAUACUGAUU